rnacentral:rRNA from 1 species
UGCCUGAGAGUGAUGCAGUCUGAGUCUGAAUAUAAAAUCAGUCAAAACUUUCAACAAUGGAUCUCUUGGUUCCGGCAUCGAUGAAGAACGCAGCGAACUGCGAUAAGUAAUGUGAAUUGCAGAAUUCAGUGAAUCAUCGAGUCUUUGAACGCACAUUGCGCCCCCUGGCAUUCCGGGGGGCAUGCCUGUCCGAGCGUCAUUGCUGCCCAUCAAGCCCGGCUUGUGUGUUGGGUCGUCGUCCCCCCCGGGGGACGGGCC